rnacentral:rRNA from 1 species
AAACUGCGUGUCGGAAUGUGAACUGCAGGACAUAUGAGCAUCGACACUUUGAACGCAUAUUGCGGACACUGGCUCGUCCAGUGUCCAUGUCUGGCUCAGGGUCGGUUACUUGCAUCCCUCCCGUUCUUUCCUCCUCUCCGGAAGAGGGAAGACGGGCAUUGGGCUUUCUCUCCCCGACUCCCGGGGGGUGGCCCUAAGUUUCGCGUUGCCCAUGACCCCGACUUAGCGGCGUUUCUAGCGGGCUGACUCUUUGGAGAUUUAACCGUCUUCCUCGGGACACCCCUGUUUGCCGCUUUGUCUUCAAGUGGGUACGGCUUCCUCUCCUUCUCCGUCCGGUCUAACGUGCGGAGGGAGAGACCCCUUUAUACUCUUUCGACCUGAGAGCAGGCAAGGUGACCCGCCAAAUUUAAGCAUAUUAAUAAGCGGAGGAAAAGAAAACAACUGUGAUGCCCUUAGUAAUGGCGAAUGAAACGGGCAGAGCCCAGCACCGAACCUCCGGCCAUCUCGGUCGCGCGGAAUGUGGUGUUUGGGGGAGCCUCCUCGCGGCACGACGGCCAGUCCAAGUCCACCUUGACUGGGGCCACAGCC